CCCUUAGAUGUCCGGGGCUGCACGCGCGCUACACUGAAGGAAUCAGCGUGCUAAAACCAUUGUCGAAAGGCAUUGGUAAACCCAUUAAAAUCCUACGUGAUUGGGAUCGGGAAUUGCAAUUAUUUCCCUUGAACGAGGAAUUCCCAGUAAGUGUGGGCCAUAAGCUCGCGUUGAUUACGUCCCUGCCCUUUGUACACACCGCCCGUCGCUGCCCGGGACUGAGCCGUUUCGAGAAAAGCGGGGACUGCUGCUGUCGGGGCUUUCGGGCCUUGGCUUCGGUGGAAACCGCUUUAAUCGCAGUGGCUUGAACCGGGCAAAAGUCGUANCA
rnacentral:rRNA from 1 species